CGCAUACGAUUUCGUCUUGACGGAUAAACUGAGACUCUGCGUUGGAGUAUUAGCUCUUUACGCUAUAUUGACGCAUAUUGUUUUUCAAUUGUUAUACGGGCCCUGUCUUCUGAGUACACGUGCAUGGUUCCGUGUGCAAAGCGUCUUUUCUUUCGCUUCGUUAACGGUCACUCUGGCUUCUGGCGUCUCACGGUCUCACAUCAUGCACGGUCUAGCAAAGGAAGAGAUGGCAUCGAACGAGACAACGUCGCACGAUAUGUGGGCGAGGCAAGCGGACGACGCUGUUUGAACAGUUGUGAUUCUCCACGCUAUCUCCGCGCUACAAAUUCGUAUGCGUACGCCCAUUGUCCACCAGGCUAGUGAUUGUUUCCCCGCACAAAGGAUCCGUCUCCGAAGGACUUGACUGGUGCUUCCUAACACUGAAAAAGAAAGAAAGAAAAGGAAAUGCAACUGGACGUCAAGGGCAAAGAAGCAAGACACCCCGAACAUGUCUUUUUUUUUUUUUUUUUCCACGCCAAACAGUUUCUUUGGCGACUACAAUAGGACGGGAUCUCUUUCAGGUCUUUCUGGCGUGUUAUGACGUCGAAUCAUCGAGCAUUUUUAUUGGCAGCCCAGAAUCGUCUGCCUGCGAGCCGACCGGUAGACUGCUCUGUGUCACACGCACGAUGUCAGAUACAUCCGGGAACUAUUGGGCAGACAAUGUGACGUCGCAGAUUCGCAGCCGAGGGAAGCAACUUUCCUGACCUGUGAGAUUAAACGUUCUCUUCCGCAACAGCCUCCAACAGGAUUCUGCGCUGCGCUGUUACCUUUUGUGCGAAUAUGUAUCCCUGCAAUGACGCAAAUUUCUACUCCUCCAGACAAUUUUUUUUUCGAGCCCUCUCAUACUUCUUUUAGAACUAUGAACUAUAAGGCGGAGUUCUGCACUUUUCGUAUCCUCAGAAAGAUAUAUUGUCAACGUAUAUGUAUACCCUGUAGUACGCAUAACUUUCUUACAUGGUGUACUGGCUUGCUAAUUUAGCUAAAGUUAAAAACCAAUUAAAGGUUGCAUGAAAAUCUUACAGAAACUGUAAAGUGAAAUAGCCAUAAUGUUUCGAGCUACCAUCAUGUAGAACGUGGCUGUAUGACCACACGCACACACGCCAUCACCACUCAGUUCUUCAUACUUAUCGCACUAAUUAAUUUUGAACACUUUUAGAAACUGAAAGAUGGCGACCCUGAUUGUUCGAAAAGGACAAAAAUUAGAGUCGGCAAUUCGGAGCCGAAAUUACGGUAUUUAACAACACUAACGGUUAUUAUUGCUUAAAGUGCCACUUCACAGAUUAUGUCCCGGUCUUCGGAAUUUCCACCUAAUGUGAUUGCAAUCCGCACAUAGCACUCCCCAAAUUUUUGUUUUAAGUGGCGCGUAAGUACAUAAAUAUUUAUAUCUUUGAGGCGUACGACGUCACCAGUGUGUGCAAUAUGCCCUUCGUCCGCCAACAUUGCUCCUCCAAUUUCCGUCUCCUCACGAUAGCUACUUGGCAUGGUGCGUAGAGCGGAGACCGGAGACUAGAAGAGUACAUGCCGUGUUGCUAGGACACAGACGCGAAACCCCCUGUUGACGUUACCUGCCCGUGGAGAAUCCGAAAUCACGCCAUCAACAACGAAACUACGAAGUUCUGCGAAUUCUUCGAAAAGUCCGCGGAAGUGCGUGAUUUUCGUUGAGGGCAUUUUUAUUCUGCGCACCGCGUCUUUGAGCAUGGUCGAUUUUUGUGACAAGGAAUAAAUGAAAUACGAUUUUUAGUCAGCAAGUGACAUUAAGCACCAUUAAUGGCAUUAAGUACUAAGUACUCUUUAAGCGUAAUUUUUACCGUUUUGUUAAGCUGUAACAAACAAAUCCUUCCCCGUCGUCACCUGCAUAUCACGCUUAUGACAUGCUUUACCUGAGGGGUUGGAUUGGAUCGGAUUGGAUCUUAUAAAAACUAAUUUGGGAGUUUGUGGCUCCGCAAGCGUGGAACCGGCUACUCCAGCUACUUCACCUGCGCUGCUUGACGUCUUCUAUUGUAUCCGGAAAUUCCAGGUUUAACGUCUCUGGAAGGCACAUGCCUAGUAAGACCAGCAGAGCACACGCAGACGAGUCCACUGCCCUCGGAACCCACGCGUCGAAGAUGACGCCCUGAAAUUGCGAGCGACGGUGUUAGAGAAAGCUGCGCGGAAAGAUGGCGUGAACGGCAUCGCACCAAUUCUUUCGUAAACGGUGCUGUCAUGGCUCCGAUCCUGCUUAUGGUGACGUAGAGACCCAUAGCCAGGGUGCGAAUCUGGGUAGGGUACAUCUCCUGCAGCUGAACCAGAAGAACUCCACUAGCUGUGUAAAUUGCCAGUUUUGCCAGAACGGCGCAGCUGAGUUGACACCACCACAGGUCUGCAUUGAGGGUACCGCUGAGUCAGGCAAAAGGCGCCAAGGUGUCUCAACAUGCACCGCACUUACUCUCGUAAUGAUCCCGCCUUCUUAAAAAACAGUAGCGCUACAA